UGCAGUCGAACGAUGAAGCCUUUCGGGGUGGAUUAGUGGCGAACGGGUGAGUAACACGUGGGCAAUCUGCCCUUCACUCUGGGACAAGCCCUGGAAACGGGGUCUAAUACCGGAUAAUACUCUGUCCUGCAUGGGAUGGGGUUGAAAGCUCCGGCGGUGAAGGAUGAGCCCGCGGCCUAUCAGCUUGUUGGUGGGGUGAUGGCCUACCAAGGCGACGACGGGUAGCCGGCCUGAGAGGGCGACCGGCCACACUGGGACUGAGACACGGCCCAGACUCCUACGGGAGGCAGCAGUGGGGAAUAUUGCACAAUGGGCGAAAGCCUGAUGCAGCGACGCCGCGUGAGGGAUGACGGCCUUCGGGUUGUAAACCUCUUUCAGCAGGGAAGAAGCGAGAGUGACGGUACCUGCAGAAGAAGCGCCGGCUAACUACGUGCCAGCAGCCGCGGUAAUACGUAGGGCGCAAGCGUUGUCCGGAAUUAUUGGGCGUAAAGAGCUCGUAGGCGGCUUGUCACGUCGGUUGUGAAAGCCCGGGGCUUAACCCCGGGUCUGCAGUCGAUACGGGCAGGCUAGAGUGUGGUAGGGGAGAUCGGAAUUCCUGGUGUAGCGGUGAAAUGCGCAGAUAUCAGGAGGAACACCGGUGGCGAAGCGGAUCUCUGGGCCAUUACUGACGCUGAGGAGCGAAAGCGUGGGGAGCGAACAGGAUUAGAUACCCUGGUAGUCCACGCCGUAAACGUUGGGAACUAGGUGUUGGCGACAUUCCACGUCGUCGGUGCCGCAGCUAACGCAUUAAGUUCCCCGCCUGGGG
rnacentral:rRNA from 1 species